rnacentral:rRNA from 1 species
GCCUGAUCAGGUUGAAGUCAGGGGAAACCCUGAUGGAAGACCGAAGCAGUUCUGACGUGCAAAUCGAUUGUCAGAAUUGGGCAUAGGGGCGAAAGACCAAUCGAACCAUCUAGUAGCUGGUUCCCUCCGAAGUUUCCCUCAGGAUAGCUGGUGCAUAUACCGUUUCUUAAAACUUAAUAAAUCUUAUCUGGUAAAGCGAAUGAUUAGAGGCAUUAGGUUCGAAACGUUCUUAACCUAUUCUCAAACUAUAAAUGGGUACGAUAUAAGAGUUUCUUGAUUGAACUCUUAUUUCACGCUAUAAUGGCGUACCAUAUCAAACAUUUAUUACAUGUUUGUAAUUUGGUUUAGAUUUAUUGUGCCCAGUGGGCCAAG